rnacentral:rRNA from 1 species
GGAUAACUUACCCUUAGGACUGGGAUAACUCUGGGAAACUGGGGAUAAUACUGGAUAUUAGGCUAUGCCUGGAAUGGUUUGCCUUUGAAAUGUUUUUUCGCCUAAGGAUAGGUCUGCGGCUGAUUAGGUCGUUGGUGGGGUAAUGGCCCACCAAGCCGAUGAUCGGUACGGGUUGUGAGAGCAAGGGCCCGGAGAUGGAACCUGAGACAAGGUUCCAGACCCUACGGGGUGCAGCAGGCGCGAAACCUCCGCAAUGUACGAAAGUGCGACGGGGGGAUCCCAAGUGUUAUGCUUUUUUGUAUGACUUUUCAUUAGUGUAAAAAGCUUUUAGAAUAAGAGCUGGGCAAGACCGGUGCCAGCCGCCGCGGUAACACCGGCAGCUCGAGUGGUAGCUGUUUUUAUUGGGCCUAAAGCGUUCGUAGCCGGUUUGAUAAGUCUUUGGUGAAAGCUUGUAGCUUAACUAUAAGAAUUGCUGGAGAUACUAUUAGACUUGAAGUCGGGAGAGGUUAGAGGUACUACCGGGGUAGGGGUGAAAUCCUAUAAUCCUGGGAGGACCACCUGUGGCGAAGGCGUCUAACUGGAACGAUCUUGACGGUGAGUAACGAAAGCCAGGGGCGCGAACCGGAUUAGAUACCCGGGUAGUCCUGGCCGUAAACGAUGUGGACUUGGUGUUGGAAUGGCUUUGAGUUGUUCCGGUGCCGAAAGGGAAGCUGUUAAGUCCACCGCCUGGGAAGUACGGUCGCAAGA